rnacentral:rRNA from 1 species
GUUAAUAAUCUUAUUUUAUUUUCUUAAGUAAAUUUCUCAUAAGUUAAUUUUUUUUUAGUAUUAUUAUAAAAAUAAUUUUACAAUUCUAACUGUGUAGGUAAUUUUAUUUAUUUAUAGUAGUUAUUUUUAGUACCUUUUGUAUCAGGGUAAAUUAAUUAAAUUAAUUAAUAUUUAUGUUCCCGAAUUAAAAAGUUCAAAUAUUUUAUUUAUUUAUUUGUUGAAUUAAGUUUUAUAAUAAAAUAUUAGUAAAUAUAUUUUAAUCGUUUUUUUUAUAUCUGGUUACUAAGGAUUUAAUUUAAUUAAGUGCUUAAUUAUGUAAAAAUUUAUUAAUAAUUUUUAAGUAUAAUGUUAUUAGGGAUAAUCUUGAUAAUUAGUAUAUAAUAUUAAUUUAUAUUAAUAGAUUUAUUUUCUUUAUAAUUUUGUAUUAAGUUUUUAAUAAAUUAUUUUAUUUUUAUAUUAUUUUUUAAUAUUUAUUUUUUUACUUAGUUGUAUAUACGACUUUUUAUUAUUUAAUAAUAAUGAUUUAAUUAGUAUAAUUUUAAAUUAAUUUUUAAUGAAUUCGACAACUUUUAUUUCCAACUGUUUAACAAAAACAUUUCUUUUUGUUUGUUUAAAAAGUAUCUUCUGCCCUAUGAUUUUUAUUAAAUGGCUGCAGUAUAUUGACUGUGCAAAGGUAGCAUAGUAAUUAGUUUCUUAAUUAGGAACUUGUAUGAAUGGAUGAAUGAGAAAUAUAUUUUAUUAAUUUUAGUAUUAAAAAUUAAACUUUAAGUCAAAAUGCUUAACUGUUUUUCUGGGACGAUAAGACCCUAUAGAACUUAAAUUAAGGAAAGCUUGAGAAAAUUUUGUUAAAUUAGUUUAUUCAAGCUUUUGUAAUUUUAGCUGGGGUGGUUGAUAAAUUUAAACUUUAUUUUUUAUAUUCAUUCUAAUUGUAAUUUAAGAUUUUCAAUAUGAAAUUAUAAGACUAAGUUACCUUAGGGAUAACAGCGUAAUUUUAAUGGAAAGUUCAUAUUUAUAUUAAGUUUUGCGACCUCGAUGUUGAAUUAAGAAUAGUUUAAGAAGCAGUUUUCUUUAAUCUAAGUCUGUUCGACUUUUAAAUUCUUACAUGAUUUGAGUUCAAACCGGCGUGAGCCAGGUUGGUUUCUAUCUGGAAUUAUUAUUACUUAGUUAGUACGAAAGGACCAUUAAGUUUCACUUUAGUGUAGUUUUUGGAAUA